AACGAACGCUGGCGGCAUGCCUAACACAUGCAAGUCGAACGAGACCUUCGGGUCUAGUGGCGCACGGGUGCGUAACGCGUGGGAAUCUGCCUUCUGGUACGGAAUAACUCAGGGAAACUUAAGCUAAUACCGUAUAAUGACUCCGGUCCAAAGAUUUAUCGCCUGAGGAUGAGCCCGCGUAGGAUUAGCUAGUUGGUGAGGUAAAAGCUCACCAAGGCGACGAUCCUUAGCUGGUCUGAGAGGAUGAUCAGCCACACUGGGACUGAGACACGGCCCAGACUCCUACGGGAGGCAGCAGUGGGGAAUAUUGGACAAUGGGCGCAAGCCUGAUCCAGCAAUGCCGCGUGAGUGAUGAAGGCCUUAGGGUUGUAAAGCUCUUUUACCCGGGAUGAUAAUGACAGUACCGGGAGAAUAAGCCCCGGCUAACUCCGUGCCAGCAGCCGCAGUAUAC
rnacentral:rRNA from 1 species